rnacentral:tRNA from 1 species
GGAGGAGUGGUCGAGUGGUUGAAGGCACCGGUCUUGAAAACCGGCGAAGGGUUACCUUUCGUGGGUUCGAAUCCCACCUCCUCCG